CUACAGCCCUCUAUCCAUGUCCUAAACUACAGUCCCUACCCUGUCCUAAACCACAUCCCUCUACCCUGUCCUAAACUACAGUCCCUACCCUGUCCUAAACCACAUCCCUCUACCCUGUCCUAAACUACAGCCCUCUACCCUGUCCUAAACCACAUCCCUCUACCAUGUCCUAAACCACAUCCCUCUACCCUGUCCUAAACUACAGCCCUCCACCCUGUCCUAAACUACAGCCCUCCACCCUGUCCUAAACCACAUCCCUCUACCCUGUCCUAAACUACAGCCCUCCACCCUGUCCUAAACUACAGCCCUCCACCCUGUCCUAAACUACAGCCCUCCACCCUGUCCUAAACUACAGCCCUCCACCCUGUCCUAAACCACAUCCCUCUACCCUGUCCUAAACUACAGCCCUCUAUCCAUGUCCUAAACUACAGUCCCUACCCUGUCCUAAACUACAGCCCUCCACUCUGUCCUAAACCACAUCCCUCUACCCUGUCCUAAACUACAGCCCUCUACCCUGUCCUAAACCACAUCCCUCUACCCUGUCCUAAACUACAGCCCUCUACCCUGUCCUAAACUACAGCCCUCUACCCUGUCCUAAACCACAUCCCUCUACCCUGUCCUAAACUACAGCCCUCUACCCUGUCCUAAACCACAUCCCUCUACCCUGUCGUAAAUUAUAGCCCUCUACCCUGUCCUAAACUACAGCCCUCUACCCAUGUCCUAAACUACGCCCUCCACCCUGUCCUAAACCACAUCCCUCUACCCUGUCCUAAACUACAGCCCUCUACCCUGUCCUAAACUACAGCCCUCUACCCUGUCCUAAACUACAGUCCCUACCCUGUCCUAAACUACAGCCCUCUACCCUGUCCUAAACUACAGCCCUCCACCCUGUCCUAAACCACAUCCCUCUACCCUGUCCUAAACUACAGCCCUCUACCCUGUCCUAAACUACAGUCCCUACCCAUGUCCUAAACCACAUCCCUCUACCCUGUCCUAAACUACAGCCCUCUACCCUGUCCUAAACUACAGCCCUCUACCCUGUCCUAAACUACAGUCCCUACCCUGUCCUAAACUACAGCCCUAAUCUAAUGUGAAGUAGUUCUCUUCCUUGACGUGAUAGAACAAACUAGCGGACCAGAUGGUCUCAGUGAGCGUUCAGUCAAGAAUGUGUUUUAAACAAUCAAUCCAAGAUUAAGGACCUUAAAAGCAAUCACAGCGCUUUGUUUUGACAAGGUAAAAUAUUCCUCAGAAAUAAUAUUUACGCCAGGCAAGCAUCUUCUCACUAGGGGCUGGAUGGGUCCCGUUAGGCCAGGCAAGCGUCUUCUCACUAGGGGCUGGAUGGGUCCCGUUAGGCCAGGCAAGCAUCUUCUCACUAGGGGC
rnacentral:lncRNA from 1 species